UUUUUUUAAAUAUAGUUCAUGAUACAAGCCCAAGAGACAACUCUAAGGAAACCUAAUUCCCUCUGUAGACCAAAUUGACUCACCUCUCCACAGCCGCUUCUUCUACUUCACCCUUUCCUUCUACCAUGUCGUCUCUCCAACUCUGCCACUCCCUCUAUCUCCCCAACUCUCUCGCUGUCAUUGUUUCCUUAUCUCUUCCACUCUUUCUGUCACCUAUUAGAGGAAAACAAUUCUUGCAGGCCUAAUUAUUUAUUUCUGGGUUGUUUUUUAGGGCUAAUGGUGGAGCUUAAUGUACUGUAUUAUUUUGGUCGAGGGUUUUGGUGGCUGGGUCUUCUAAUGGAGGCAUGUAAUGGGGUCGCAUGGUAUUCUACAUUGAUCUUAAAGAGGGUGUACCCAUACCGCAUUGUUUUUGCAGGAUUACUAAUUUGAAACUUGCAUGUGUACUGAUCUAAUUUUACUAUGCUAUUACUAUAUGAAAAGAAAUAUCACUAACAUUUUUAAUGUUUCUGUUAAUGUUUCAUGGAUGAAAUCAAACUGUAUUACUUCAACAAUUUCUGCAAAUGAAAUAAACCUCAGAUUUGUUUCAGGAGGAUGAAACCAUUCUAGAGUUAAAAUUACAGUGUAUUAAUUCAACACAUUUUUGUAGGUGUAAUUGAUAUGAGAGUAUGUUUCAGGAGUGUUUUUUAUUAUUUGAAAGUUUAUAAUGAUGAGAGAGGAGGUUUGAUGCGAUAAUGUUUAUGUAUUUGUAAUGUGUUACUUUAUGCAAAAGGUUGUGUACUGAAAGGAUGUGUACUUCUGAAGUGUUGUAUUGUUUAAUUUUUUUUAAGAUUAAUCAUUUGAAUGUGUGAAGAAUCAAUUAUUGUAUUUUUUGGAUAUAGAAGAAAUUAUUCAGUUUGGAUGACU